AGACGCGCCAGCUGACCCGGGGCUGCCUUUGGGGAAAGCGCCUUUUUGCGCAAGCGUGGCCGAGGCAGGGGCGGACCGCCUUCCUCCCCGCAGCCCCGUCCCCACCACGCUCCUCGCCGCCGCCGCCGCCGGCCCCGGAGAACUUCGGCGAGCGAGCGGUGCUCCGCUUCCUCCUCGCCUCGGCGGCCUGGGAAGGGAAGGGAAGGGGCGGGCGGAGAGGAGCGAGCUCCUCGCCUUCGCAGUCUGGCGCAGCCCCCCGAGUUGGGAUUCCGGAGCUUCUCGACAGACGGCCAGGCGGCGGCGGGCAGCCCCUUCCCGAGAGAGACCCCGAUGGUGGGCUGAGCGCGGUUCUUUGGUGGUCUUCAUGAGAAGAUGUUGGAUGUACUGACGGAUCAAUCCAGCUGCUUGCCAAAAAUGAUCCAACUAUGAGGCAAGAUGGAGAACCAGAAGCACAGAGUGUCUAACCUUAUUCAAAGCAUCCCACCAGCCCAUCUGGAAGCAGAAACCAGAAGUCCUGCAGCUGUUAGACAUCAUCGUGUUGCAUAGCCUGCAAGGAGAGGGGUAAGUUGAGUGUGUGUACAUAGCGUUUGGCAUGGAAACAUGCUUCUUGGUUAUGACAACUGGAUGGUGCCAUCUGGUCUGUUUUGCUGUGUGUAUUCUGGCUGCAUCUGGACUGUGUCUUUUAGAGAGUUGGCAGGAAAACAGAAUGGAAUGAAAGAGAGAAAUGUUUUUUUAUGAUUCCUCUGGGUGAAGGUAGGAAUGGAUGGGUUCUGGGAAUGGGGUGCUGUCGGCUUCCAUGGUAGCUGGAGAAGUCACUCUCUAUGGGUUGCCCAAUGCUGAUGUUUAGUAACUCAUCUUGUUUACCUGCAUUGUGGACAUCCGUAUUCCUCACUGGGUAUACUUAUUGCAUUUUUUUAUUAAUGGGUCAUCUGACUCCAGGCAUAAUCACACUCAGGGUGAUGCUCAUGCUCUCUCUCUCUGCUUUGCUCCUUCCUCUGUCUAGCAUCACCUUGAACUGACUGUCUGUCUAUUAGAUCUAUCUGCAUGCAAGAAAAAGGCAGCAAUUUCUUUAGUUAUCCUGGUGGCAAGAGAACUGGCCAAUAAAGAUGAGUUUUUAACCUGCCAACAGAAAGGGAAUAUAGUUCCUGUAAUAUUUUUAAUUGAAAUUUUCAAGUAUAUACAUUUUAAAAAAGGAAAAAUUGAGAGGAAAAUUAUAAAAACAAAAA